UACGUAGGGGGCUAGCGUUGUCCGGAUUUAUUGGGCGUAAAGAGCGUGUAGGCGGCCAGGCAGGUCUGCUGUGAAAACUCGAGGCUCAACCUCGAGACGCCGGUUGAAACCAUCUGGCUAGAGUCCGGAAGAGGAGAGUGGAAUUCCUGGUGUAGCGGUGAAAUGCGCAGAUAUCAGGAAGAACACCCGUGGCUAAGGCGGCUCUCUAGUACGGUACUGACGCUGAGACGCGAAAGCGUGGGGAGCGAACAGG
rnacentral:rRNA from 1 species